UCAUCGGUAUCAAACGCCAUUCAUAUUUCUUUCUUUCAAAGUUGUCAGAGCACGGGAGAAACAUCUUUCUGUAUCUGAAAAUAUUUAGUCAAUCGCUAUAGCCUCGUUUCUAAACAAGUCGUAAACCCUAAGGGUUUUAUUCCUUAAUAAUGAGAGCCAAGUGGCGUAAGAAGCGUAUGCGAAGGCUAAAGCGCAAACGUAGGAAGAUGCGUGCGAGGUCCAAAUAGAAGGUACACUUGUGAGCAGAGAAGAAUAAUAUUAUUAUCUUUUAAACUUAACUUGUGUGUCAAAUAAAAAAUCAAAAAGCAUAUA